rnacentral:rRNA from 1 species
AUUGAACGCUGGCGGCAGGCCUAACACUAUGCAAGUCGAGCGGAUGAGUGGAGCUUGCUCCAUGAUUCAGCGGCGGACGGGUGAGUAAUGCCUAGGAAUCUGCCUGGUAGUGGGGGACAACGUUUCGAAAGGAACGCUAAUACCGCAUACGUCCUACGGGAGAAAGCAGGGGACCUUCGGGCCUUGCGCUAUCAGAUGAGCCUAGGUCGGAUUAGCUAGUAGGUGAGGUAAUGGCUCACCUAGGCGACGAUCCGUAACUGGUCUGAGAGGAUGAUCAGUCACACUGGAACUGAGACACGGUCCAGACUCCUACGGGAGGCAGCAGUGGGGAAUAUUGGACAAUGGGCGAAAGCCUGAUCCAGCCAUGCCGCGUGUGUGAAGAAGGUCUUCGGAUUGUAAAGCACUUUAAGUUGGGAGGAAGGGCAGUAAGUUAAUACCUUGCUGUUUUGACGUUACCAACAGAAUAAGCACCGGCUAACUUCGUG